GGUUUGGUAGUUCAGUGGUGGAACGAUUGCUUAACCUGCAAAAGGUCGUCGGUUCAGGUCCAGCCCCGAUCA
rfam:Sphaerobolus stellatus SS14 unplaced genomic scaffold SPHSTscaffold_78, whole genome shotgun sequence.